rnacentral:rRNA from 1 species
UACGUAGGGGCCUAGCGUUGUCCGGAAUCAUUGGGCGUAAAGAGCUCGUAGGCGGUUCGGCAAGUCACGUGUGAAAUCUCCACGCUUAACGUGGAGGCGCCACGUGAAACUGCCGUGACUUGAGUCCGGUAGGGGAGUGUGGAAUUCCCGGUGUAGCGGUGAAAUGCGCAGAUAUCGGGAGGAACACCAGUAGCGAAGGCGGCACUCUGGGCCGGUACUGACGCUGAGGAGCGAAAGCGUGGGGAGCAAACAGG